GGCUUGGUGGUCUAGUGGUAUGAUUCUCGCUUAGGGUACACCUGAAAGCAAAUUUGCGAGAGGUCCCGGGUUCAAUCUCCGGCUAAGCCC
rnacentral:tRNA from 2 species